rnacentral:rRNA from 1 species
CCCUUAGAUGUUCUGGGCUGCACGCGCGCUACACUGAUGCGCUCAACGAGUUUACGACCUUGCCCGGAAGGGUUGGGUAAUCUUUUUAAAACGCAUCGUGAUGGGGAUAGAUUAUUGCAAUUAUUAAUCUUUAACGAGGAAUUCCUAGUAAACGCAGAUCAUCAAUCUGCAUUGAUUACGUCCCUGCCCUUUGUACACACCGCCCGUCGCACCUACCGAUUGGAUGGUCCGGUGAAGCCUCGGGAUUGUGGUUCUUGCCGCUUUAUUGUGGCGUGACCGCGAGAACUUGUCUAAACCUUAUCAUCUAGAGGAAGGUGAAGUCGUAACA